rnacentral:misc_RNA from 1 species
AGGAAAAGAAAAAGUCCGCAUAGCGAAUGGAUCCCUAGCCAGUAUUUCAGGAACAGGUUCUAUUAAAUGUAAUCCUACUUUGAAUCUCACCUCAGUUUUACAUGUACCUACUUUCCUAUGAAUCUCUUAUCUACUAACUCUUUUACAAAAACAUUUAACUUUAAAAUCUCAUUCUUCUCUACUCUUUGUAUGUUUUGGGAACUGAACACAGGGAGAACGAUUGGCAGUGGU